rnacentral:rRNA from 2 species
UGGGGAAUAUUGCGCAAUGGGGGAAACCCUGACGCAGCAACGCCGCGUGAAUGAUGAAGGCCUUAGGGUUGUAAAGUUCUGUCUUCUGGGACGAUAAUGACGGUACCAGAGGAGGAAGCCACGGCUAACUACGUGCCAGCAGCCGCGGUAAUACGUAGGUGGCAAGCGUUGUCCGGAUUUACUGGGCGUAAAGGAUGCGUAGGCGGAUAUUUAAGUCAGAUGUGAAAUACCCGGGCUCAACUUGGGUGCUGCAUUUGAAACUGGAUAUCUAGAGUGCGGGAGAGGUAAGUGGAAUUCCUAGUGUAGCGGUGAAAUGCGUAGAGAUUAGGAAGAACACCAGUGGCGAAGGCGACUUACUGGACCGUAACUGACGCUGAGGCAUGAAAGCGUGGGGAGCAAACA